rnacentral:rRNA from 1 species
UAGAGCCUACGGGGGGCAGCAGUGGGGAAUAUUGCACAAUGGGGGGAACCCUGAUGCAGCGACGCCGCGUGAGUGAAGAAGUAUUUCGGUAUGUAAAGCUCUAUCAGCAGGGAAGAAGAUGACGGUACCUGACUAAGAAGCCCCGGCUAACUACGUGCCAGCAGCCGCAGUAAUACGUAGGGGGCGAGCGUUAUCCGGAUUUACUGGGUGUAAAGGGGGCGCAGACGGCCAUGGCAAGCCCGGUGUGAAAGGUGCGGGCACAACCUGCAGACUGCACUGGUAACUGCCUGGCUGGAGUGCCGGAG